UCCAGAGGGGGCUAGCGUUGUUCGGAAUUACUGGGCGUAAAGGGCGCGUAGGUGGCCUGUUAAGUCGAACGUGAAAUCCCCGGGCUCAACCCGGGAACUGCGUCCGAGACUGGCAGGCUCGAAUCCGGGAGAGGGAUGUGGAAUUCCAGGUGUAGCGGUGAAAUGCGUAGAUAUCUGGAGGAACACCGGUGGCGAAGGCGGCAUCCUGGACCGGUAUUGACGCUGAGGCGCGAAAGCUAGGGGAGCAAACGGG
rnacentral:rRNA from 1 species